GCCCGCGCCCCUGCCGCAGCACGCCGCAGUCCGGCCUCCCGCCCAGGCGCAGGGAAGGAAGGCCAGCGGCCUCGUCACGUGUCCCGGGCGAUCGCGAAACAGUUCCGGUGGUGAGGCGUCCUUUCCAAAUAUAAGAGGAAUAAAGAAGUCACUUCCUCAGCUGUCAUCAUCUUCCAACAGAUUGAGCAAGAAUAUUUCGAGCACUGCAGAAAAGACAGUCCGUCAAACCCUAGAUGAUGAUCAGCCGUGUUAUUUUUUCAAGAGAGGGAGUAGGGUGAAUGAAUCUUAUCAGAAAAGCAGAAAUUCCGGGAUCAGGGAUCGAACCUGUACCAUAGCAGUGACAAUGCCGGACCUUAACCCACUGAGCCACCAGGGAACUCCGUGUGACUACUUCUUGAUAUACGUUUCAGGCCAGAGGAGUCUCUGUCCGCACGUUGCACACAUAUCCGUAUCCUCCGAGGCUAAGCCCGCAGGGUGUGGGCCGAGCUGCUGCCUCUCCCAUCAUGCACCUGUGCAGGCCGGGGUUUUCCUGUCCCGGAGCCGUGAAGAAACAGCCAGGUGACAUCGUGGAUCUUCCUCGUUUGACUUGAAGUUGACCGCUUCAUUCCAGGGAAUGGUCAGCGUGUCACGUGUUACGACCCGUUUUAAAAGCCUGAAAAAAUGACGUUUCUUGUUCACUUUGGGGCCUCGGGUUGGUUUAUUGUGAUUGGAUCAGAGAACCUAAUGAAUAUAGGUUCGCUGCAGAACAUAAGCACAAUUUUAUGUUUUCUGAUGCCCACAUCUUGGUGCGCUAAAUGCUGCAUAGGAAUCUUGCCAUUCAAGCUGGACGGCAUGGGAGGGUUGAGUCAUAAACUCAUGCAGUUCAUCAAAUCUAAGCCAUUGAGUCUUGUGACGUGAGUCAUUGUGUUUCUAAGAAGUGCCUUUUCAUUUCUGUGGUUGUUUACAUACAGUGUUGUAUUUAAACCAAUUAAAAUAAUCCAAUUAAAUAAAUGGUAGCAAAAAAAAAAAAACAACCCUCAAGCUUAGAGAAUGUAAAAAGAAUUGCGUCAGGUGGAAAAUGUGUAAAAGCAUAAACAAUGAACUAUAAAAAUAUCAGUAUUAGCUAUAGUUGUUUAGGUUUAGACUCUCUCUCAAAUCCUUAGUGACUAAAUAGGCUGAAGGUUUGUAACUCACUUGGCUAGGGUGGCACUGGUGGCCGUGGUGGACGGGGAGACCGGAGACCGUUUGCAGAUUUCUAGCGGUUGUUAGGCCUACUUGGUUAGUUUCCAGAAAAAAAGAAUUUCUACCUUCAAGGCUUAAAUAUUGCCUAUUUCCUCUUUCCGUUAUGCUCAUUUAUGUGAAUAGUUAAAUAAAAAUGUAAAACUCUUGGUAGUACUGCAUUUCAGAGUAACAGAGAAGCAGUUUUGAUCAUUUAUUGAUAUACAUGUACAGAGCACUAUUCAAAAUGGCCUGAAAAUAUUCAGCAGGUUUGUUAUUUGCUGUGUGAUUAUCAUAGGCUCGGUUUUGUUUAUAAUAAAAUGAUACACUUAAGUUUUGUGAAUCUAGAUGUUUUUUCCUUCCUUGAGAUUAAACACUAGAAAAAUAUUGUCUGGA
rnacentral:lncRNA from 1 species